rnacentral:siRNA from 1 species
CAAGAAGGGCAACCAGUGGCACU